CCCACCGCUAAAAACAGUACAGUUGUUCUGUAGUCAGAAACUAAAACAAUAAUUUUGGUCGAAAUAACUUGUUGUCCCGUAAUGGACUUGAAUUCUCAGUUUUCCAGCUCUCAAGAUGAACCAGGCCAUAUUUACAACGAUGAAUUGGUCAGCUAGAAGUAGCUGGAAAGUCUCAAGACACCAGAUUGUAUCAGCUCAGGUGCCGGAUUUUUACAUAUGUUUUAAUAACAU
rnacentral:misc_RNA from 1 species